rnacentral:rRNA from 1 species
UGGGGAAUUUUGGACAAUGGGCGAAAGCCUGAUCCGGCAAUGCCGCGUGUGUGAAGAAGGCCUUCGGGUUGUAAAGCACUUUUGUCCGGAAAGAAAUCCUUGGCUCUAAUACAGUCGGGGGAUGACGGUACCGGAAGAAUAAGCACCGGCUAACUACGUGCCAGCAGCCGCGGUAAUACGUAGGGUGCAAGCGUUAAUCGGAAUUACUGGGCGUAAAGCGUGCGCAGGCGGUUUGCUAAGACCGAUGUGAAAUCCCCGGGCUCAACCUGGGAACUGCAUUGGUGACUGGCAGGCUAGAGUAUGGCAGAGGGGGGUAGAAUUCCACGUGUAGCAGUGAAAUGCGUAGAGAUGUGGAGGAAUACCGAUGGCGAAGGCAGCCCCCUGGGCCAAUACUGACGCUCAUGCACGAAAGCGUGGGGAGCAAACAGGAUUAGAUACCCUGGUAGUCCACGCCCUAAACGAUGUCAACUAGUUGUUGGGGAUUCAUUUCCUUAGUAACGUAGCUAACGCGUGAAGUUGACCGCCUGGGGAGUACGGUCGCAAGAUUAAAACUUAAAUGAAUUGACGGGGUCAUAGCUG